rnacentral:rRNA from 1 species
UGGGGAAUUUUGGACAAUGGGCGAAAGCCUGAUCCAGCAAUGCCGCGUGUGUGAAGAAGGCCUUCGGGUUGUAAAGCACUUUUGUCCGGAAAGAAAUCCUUGGCUCUAAUACAGUCGGGGGAUGACGGUACCGGAAGAAUAAGCACCGGCUAACUACGUGCCAGCAGCCGCGGUAAUACGUAGGGUGCAAGCGUUAAUCGGAAUUACUGGGCGUAAAGCGUGCGCAGGCGGUUUGCUAAGACCGAUGUGAAAUCCCCGGGCUCAACCUGGGAACUGCAUUGGUGACUGGCAGGCUAGAGUAUGGCAGAGGGGGGUAGAAUUCCACGUGUAGCAGUGAAUGCGUAGAGAUGUGGAGGAAUACCGAUGGCGAAGGCAGCCCCCUGGGCCAAAUACUGACGCUCAUGCACGAAAGCGUGGGGAGCAAACAGGAUUAGAUACCCUGGUAGUCCACGCCCUAAAACGAUGUCAACUAGUUGUUGGGGAUUCAUUUCCUUAGUAACGUAGCUAACGCGUGAAGUUGACCGCCUGGGGAGUACGGUCGC